GGUACUUGGAGAGAGGUGGUCCGUGGCGCGUUCGCUUUAUUUAUGGCGCACAUUACACGGUCGACCUCUUUGCAGUAUC
rnacentral:pre_miRNA from 10 species